GGCCGUGCGGGGCCAUGCGGAGCCCCGGGGCCGGCCCGGGCCGCUCUGGAGGCCCCGGCUCCCCCGGAACACGGCGACCUGCCCACACCCGGGGAUGAACGUCCCGCUGCGGUGAGCGCUUCCACGAAUCGCAUCGCAGGGUCCGGCGCGGCCGCUCCGAAGCCGGGGCAGGGAACCGCGCUCCCCGCGGGAGCGUCGUCGAGGCUGGGACUCGCCGGUCCGCGGCGCGCGGGGUCGGGCCCGUAACCACGGCGGACGCGCAGGGCUCCCAGGCCCGAUCGGGAGUCGCGGCGACCCGCAGCCUCGCCGGGGGUCGAGUCUCCCCUGGGGGGCCCUGGGGCGGGAAGGCCCCGAGCUUCUUCCCCUGUUCGCAGUCAGGGUUGUCGCGGCAUCUUCGCGGAUCCCAAGCCGGACCUCGUCUGCAGGCGGAGCGUUUACCCAGCGGACCCGGGACAUUCUCAGUCCGCGCCCGUGGAUUUCUCUAACGACCGAAGCUCGUGUCCUUCCAGUGCCCGAUUUUCACUGUAUUUAAUGAGAAAAUUUUCACGGGCUUCUGCUCUGGGUCUUUGACGGUCGCGUCACCUGCUCCUGACACCCGGGAAGCAUUGCUCUUGUCUGCUGUCGGGGCGCCGCGCGGCCAGGGACGCGCCGUUUGCCCUUCGAAGACCUGGUCGGCCGGAGCCACUUGCAGCUGUGGCUGCCCCACGCGCCGCGCAGGGCUGUUCUCUGGCGGGCGGUUCCUCCGCACACCUGCCGCCGCUGCUUGGAAAUCAGACGGUGGACGCAGCGGCAAAGAGAGCCACGCACUGAAGCAUCCAUUUCCUCCUCUUCCCAGCAGGAUGAGUAAAUACACUUCUAAGGGUACAGGAAAUCCAUUAGCACGUAUCCUUUGUUGCGCGAGCAGGUGCUUACCCACCAAGAGAAGCCAGUGAGCACAAAUGCCCCAGGCUCGUCCUGCCCUCGGGGAGCUUCCCUUCUGGGGACCUGAAAGAGCUUGUAAACAAGUCGCAUGUGUGGUGCUGCUUUGUCAGAAAAGAAGAGGAUGCGUCCAUCUACAUUCGACAUUCACUAUCACGAAUCAAGACAAAAUCCUACAGUAGGCUUUGGCAUGGCACCAUAUUUGAAUUCCGGGGGAUGUUCUGGGCAUUGCUUUGGAGUCUUGGAAAAGAAAAGUGCUACAAAAGGAGACUCUAAGGCAUUGUCUAAAAUAAUACUAAAACCACUGGUUGAAAAUUAAAAUAUUUCAA